GACGAACGCUGGCGGCGUGCUUAACACAUGCAAGUCGAACGGAAAGGCCUGCUUUCCCUUGUGGAUUGCGGGUACUCGAGUGGCGAACGGGUGAGUAACACGUGAGUGAUCUGCCCCCAACUUGGGUAUAAGCCUGGGAAACUGGGUCUAAUUCCCGAUAGGACUGCAGGGUGGUGCCUGUGGUGGAAAACGAUUUUCUAGUGGUUGGGGAUGAGCUCGCGGCCUAUCAGCUUGUUGGUGGGGUAAUGGCCUACCAAGGCGGCGACGGGUAGCCGGCCUGAGAGGGUGGACGGACACAUUGGGACUGAGAUACGGCCCAGACUCCUACGGGAGGCAGCAGUGGGGAAUAUUGCACAAUGGGCGGAAGCCUGAUGCAGCGACGCCGCGGGGGGGAUGACGGCCUUCGGGUUGUAAACUCCUUUCGACCGCGAGGAAGCCACCUGGUUGGAAGGGUGGUGACGGUAGUGGGAGAAGAAGCACCGGCUAACUACGUG
rnacentral:rRNA from 1 species